rfam:Ciona savignyi cont_55397, whole genome shotgun sequence.
GCUUAUCACCAUUCCAGAUUGAAUAUACCCGAUCUCGUCUGAUCUCGGAAGUCAAGCAAUCUCUGGCUUAGUUAGUACUUGGAUGGGUGACCGCUUGGGAAUACCAAGUGUGAUAAGCA